GACGAACGCUGGCGGCGUGCUUAACACAUGCAAGUCGAACGGAAAGGCCCUGCUUUUGUGGGGUGCUCGUGUGGCGAAGGGGGGAGUAACACGUGAGUAACCUGCCCCUGACUUUGGGAUAACUUCAGGAAACUGGGGCUAAUACCGGAUAGGAGCUCUUGCUGCAUGGUGGGGGUUGGAAAGUUUCGGCGGUUGGGGAUGGACUCGCGGCUUAGCAGCUGGUUGGUGGGGUAGUGGCUUACCAGGGCUUUGACGGGUAGCCGGCCUGGGAGGGUUGCCGGCCACCUUGGGACUGAGGUACGGCCCAGACUCCUACGGGAGGCAGCAGUGGAGAAUAUUACACAAUGGGCGGACGCGUGAUGCAGCAACGCCGCGUGCGGGAUGACGGCCUUCGGGUUGUGAACCGAUUUCGCCUGUGCCGAAGCGUGAGUGACGGUACUGGGUAAAGAAGCCCCGGCUAACUACGUG
rnacentral:rRNA from 1 species